rnacentral:rRNA from 1 species
GGGUUGUGAGGUUAAGCGACUAAGCGUACACGGUGGAUGCCCUGGCAGUCAGAGGCGAUGAAGGACGUGCUAAUCUGCGAUAAGCGCCGGUAAGGUGAUAUGAACCGUUAUAACCGGCGAUUUCCGAAUGGGGAAACCCAGUGUGAUUCGUCACACUAUCAUUAACUGAAUCCAUAGGUUAAUGAGGCGAACCGGGGGAACUGAAACAUCUAAGUACCCCGAGGAAAAGAAAUCAACCGAGAUUCCCCCAGUAGCGGCGAGCGAACGGGGAGGAGCCCAGAGCCUGAAUCAGCAUGUGUGUUAGUGGAAGCGUCUGGAAAGGCGCGCGAUACAGGGUGACAGCCCCGUACACAAAAGCGCACAUGCUGUGAGCUCGAUGAGUAGGGCGGGACACGUGGUAUCCUGUCUGAAUAUGGGGGGACCAUCCUCCAAGGCUAAAUACUCCUGACUGACCGAUAGUGAACCAGUACCGUGAGGGAAAGGCGAAAAGAACCCCGGCGAGGGGAGUGAAAAAGAACCUGAAACCGUGUACGUACAAGCAGUGGGAGCACCCUUUGGGGUGUGACUGCGUACCUUUUGUAUAAUGGGUCAGCGACUUAUAUUCUGUAGCAAGGUUAACCGCAUAGGGGAGCCGUAGGGAAACCGAGUCUUAACCGGGCGUUAAGUUGCAGGGUAUAGACCCGAAACCCGGUGAUCUAGCCAUGGGCAGGUUGAAGGUUGGGUAACACUAACUGGAGGACCGAACCGACUAAUGUUGAAAAAUUAGCGGAUGACCUGUGGCUGGGGGUGAAAGGCCAAUCAAACCGGGAGAUAGCUGGUUCUCCCCGAAAGCUAUUUAGGUAGCGCCUCGUGAACUCAUCUCCGGGGGUAGAGCACUGUUUCGGCUAGGGGGCCAUCCCGGCUUACCAACCCGAUGCAAACUGCGAAUACCGGAGAAUGUUAUCACGGGAGACACACGGCGGGUGCUAACGUCCGUCGUGAAGAGGGAAACAACCCAGACCGCCAGCUAAGGUCCCAAAGUCAUGGUUAAGUGGGAAACGAUGUGGGAAGGCCCAGACAGCCAGGAUGUUGGCUUAGAAGCAGCCAUCAUUUAAAGAAAGCGUAAUAGCUCACUGGUCGAGUCGGCCUGCGCGGAAGAUGUAACGGGGCUAAACCAUGCACCGAAGCUGCGGCAGCGAACGUAUCACUUAAAGCGAUUCAGCGGGUUACGAUUGACGGAGCGAAGCGACGUCAAAGCGUAUACAAAGUCGAGUCGGUUUAAGGAUACGUUCGUUGGGUAGGGGAGCGUUCUGUAAGCCUGCGAAGGUGGCCUGUGAGGGUUGCUGGAGGUAUCAGAAGUGCGAAUGCUGACAUAAGUAACGAUAAAGCGGGUGAAAAGCCCGCUCGCCGGAAGACCAAGGGUUCCUGUCCAACGUUAAUCGGGGCAGGGUGAGUCGACCCCUAAGGCGAGGCCGAAAGGCGUAGUCGAUGGGAAACGGGUUAAUAUUCCCGUACUUGGUGUUACUGCGAAGGGGGACGGAGAAGGCUAUGUUGGCCGGGCGACGGUUGUCCCGGUUUAAGCGUGUAGGUGUGUGUUCCAGGUAAAUCCGGUUCACUUUAACACUGAGGCGUGAUGACGAGGCACUACGGUGCUGAAGCAACAAAUGCCCUGCUUCCAGGAAAAGCCUCUAAGCAUCAGGUAACAUCAAAUCGUACCCCAAACCGACACAGGUGGUCAGGUAGAGAAUACCAAGGCGCUUGAGAGAACUCGGGUGAAGGAACUAGGCAAAAUGGUGCCGUAACUUCGGGAGAAGGCACGCUGACACGUAGGUGAAGUGAUUUACUCAUGGAGCUGAAGUCAGUCGAAGAUACCAGCUGGCUGCAACUGUUUAUUAAAAACACAGCACUGUGCAAACACGAAAGUGGACGUAUACGGUGUGACGCCUGCCCGGUGCCGGAAGGUUAAUUGAUGGGGUCAGCGCAAGCGAAGCUCCUGAUCGAAGCCCCGGUAAACGGCGGCCGUAACUAUAACGGUCCUAAGGUAGCGAAAUUCCUUGUCGGGUAAGUUCCGACCUGCACGAAUGGCGUAAUGAUGGCCAGGCUGUCUCCACCCGAGACUCAGUGAAAUUGAACUCGCUGUGAAGAUGCAGUGUACCCGCGGCAAGACGGAAAGACCCCGUGAACCUUUACUAUAGCUUGACACUGAACAUUGAGCCUUGAUGUGUAGGAUAGGUGGGAGGCUUUGAAGUGUGGACGCCAGUCUGCAUGGAGCCGACCUUGAAAUACCACCCUUUAAUGUUUGAUGUUCUAACGUGGACCCGUUACCCGGGUUGCGGACAGUGUCUGGUGGGUAGUUUGACUGGGGCGGUCUCCUCCUAAAGAGUAACGGAGGAGCACGAAGGUUGGCUAAUCCUGGUCGGACAUCAGGAGGUUAGUGCAAUGGCAUAAGCCAGCUUGACUGCGAGCGUGACGGCGCGAGCAGGUGCGAAAGCAGGUCAUAGUGAUCCGGUGGUUCUGAAUGGAAGGGCCAUCGCUCAACGGAUAAAAGGUACUCCGGGGAUAACAGGCUGAUACCGCCCAAGAGUUCAUAUCGACGGCGGUGUUUGGCACCUCGAUGUCGGCUCAUCACAUCCUGGGGCUGAAGUAGGUCCCAAGGGUAUGGCUGUUCGCCAUUUAAAGUGGUACGCGAGCUGGGUUUAGAACGUCGUGAGACAGUUCGGUCCCUAUCUGCCGUGGGCGCUGGAGAACUGAGGGGGGCUGCUCCUAGUACGAGAGGACCGGAGUGGACGCAUCACUGGUGUUCGGGUUGUCAUGCCAAUGGCACUGCCCGGUAGCUAAAUGCGGAAGAGAUAAGUGCUGAAAGCAUCUAAGCACGAAACUUGCCCCGAGAUGAGUUCUCCCUGAGACUUUAAGUCUCCUGAAGGAACGUUGAAGACGACGACGUUGAUAGGCCGGGUGUGUAAGCGCAGCGAUGCGUUGAGCUAACCGGUACUAAUGAACCGUGAGGCUUAACCUUACAACGCCGAAG